AACGAACGCUGGCGGCAUGCCUAACACAUGCAAGUCGAACGAGACCUUCGGGCCUAGUGGCGCACGGGUGCGUAACGCGUGGGAACCUGCCUUUAGGUUCGGAAUAACCCAGAGAAAUUUGAGCUAAUACCGGAUGAUGUCUUCGGACCAAAGAUUUAUCGCCUUUAGAUGGGCCCGCGUUGGACUAGCUAGUUGGUGGGGUAAAGGCCUACCAAGGCGACGAUCCAUAGCUGGUCGGAGAGGAUGAUCAGCCACACUGGGACUGAGACACGGCCCAGACUCCUACGGGAGGCAGCAGUGGGGAAUAUUGGACAAUGGGCGAAAGCCUGAUCCAGCAAUGCCGCGUGAGUGAUGAAGGCCUUAGGGUUGUAAAGCUCUUUUACCCGAGAUGAUAAUGACAGUAUCGGGAGAAUAAGCUCCGGCUAACUCCGUG
rnacentral:rRNA from 1 species